rnacentral:rRNA from 1 species
GACGAACGCUGGCGGCGUGCUUAACACAUGCAAGUCGAACGAGAGCGUAGAGAAAGCUUGCUUUUUCUACAAUCUAGUGUCAAACGGGUGAGUAACGCGUAAACAACCUGCCCUACGGAUGGGGACAACAGCUGGAAACGGCUGCUAAUACCGAAUACGUUCCGAAAGUCGCAUGACUAUCGGAAGAAAGGAUGGCCUCUAUUUAUAAGCUAUCGCCGGAGGAGGGGUUUGCGUCUGAUUAGCUAGUUGGAGGGGUAACGGCCCACCAAGGCGACGAUCAGUAGCCGGUCUGAGAGGAUGAACGGCCACAUUGGAACUGAGACACGGUCCAGACUCCUACGGGAGGCAGCAGUGGGGAAUCUUCCGCAAUGGGCGAAAGCCUGACGGAGCAACGCCGCGUGAGUGAAGACGGCCUUCGGGUUGUAAAGCUCUGUUAUACGGGACGAAUAAUCUUGUGGUUAAUACCCAUGAGAAGUGACGGUACCGUAAGAGAAAGCCACGGCUAACUACGUG